rnacentral:rRNA from 1 species
UACGGAGGGUGCGAGCGUUGUCCGGAAUCAUUGGGCGUAAAGGGCGCGUAGGUGGCCUGGCAAGCGUGCGGUGAAAGCUCGGGGCUCAACCCCGAGUCGGCCGUGCGAACUGCUAUGGCUCGAGCACUGUAGAGGCAGGCGGAAUUCCGGGUGUAGCGGUGGAAUGGCGUAGAGACGUCCGGAAGAACACCGGUGGCGAAGGCGGCCUGCUGGGCAGUAGCUGACACUGAGGCGCGACAGCGUGGGGAGCAAACAGG